rnacentral:rRNA from 1 species
GAAUCUGGCUUCAGGUCGGGGACAACCACUGGAAACGGUGGCUAAUACCGGAUGUGCCGAAAGGUAAAAGAUUUAUCGUCUGAAGAUGAGCUCGCGUCUGAUUAGCUAGUAGGUGGGGUAAAAGCCUACCUAGGCGACGAUCAGUAGCUGGUCUGAGAGGAUGACCAGCCACACUGGGACUGAGACACGGCCCAGACUCCUACGGGAGGCAGCAGUGGGGAAUUUUCCGCAAUGGGCGAAAGCCUGACGGAGCAAUACCGCGUGAGGGAGGAAGGCUCUUGGGUUGUAAACCUCUUUUCUCAAGGAAGAAAAAAAUGACGGUACUUGAGGAAUCAGCAUCGGCUAACUCCGUGCCAGCAGCCGCGGUAAUACGGAGGAUGCAAGCGUUAUCCGGAAUGAUUGGGCGUAAAGCGUCCGCAGGUGGCUGUGUAAGUCUGCUGUCAAAGCGCGAGGCUCAACCUCGUAAAGGCAGUGGAAACUACACGGCUAGAGUGCGUUCGGGGCAGAGGGAAUUCCUGGUGUAGCGGUGAAAUGCGUAGAUAUCAGGAAGAACACCGGUGGCGAAAGCGCUCUGCUAGGCCGCAACU